AUGAACGCUGGCGGCGUGCCUAAUACAUGCAAGUCGAGCGAACGGACGAGAAGCUUGCUUCUCUGAUGUUAGCGGCGGACGGGUGAGUAACACGUGGAUAACCUACCUAUAAGACUGGGAUAACUUCGGGAAACCGGAGCUAAUACCGGAUAAUAUUUUGCACCGCAUGGUUCAAAAGUGAAAGACGGUCUUGCUGUCACUUAUAGAUGGAUCCGCGCUGCAUUAGCUAGUUGGUAAGGUAACGGCUUACCAAGGCAACGAUGCAUAGCCGACCUGAGAGGGUGAUCGGCCACACUGGAACUGAGACACGGUCCAGACUCCUACGGGAGGCAGCAGUAGGGAAUCUUCCGCAAUGGGCGAAAGCCUGACGGAGCAACGCCGCGUGAGUGAUGAAGGUCUUCGGAUCGUAAAACUCUGUUAUUAGGGAAGAACAUAUGUGUAAGUAACUGUGCACAUCUUGACGGUACCUAAUCAGAAAGCCACGGCUAACUACGUG
rnacentral:rRNA from 1 species